rnacentral:rRNA from 1 species
GCGUGAGUGAAGAAGGCCUUAGGGUUGUAAAGCUCUUUCACCCGCGAAGAUGAUGACGGUAGCGGGAGAAGAAGCCCCGGCUAACUCCGUGCCAGCAGCCGCGGUAAUACGGAGGGGGCGAGCGUUGUUCGGAAUUACUGGGCGUAAAGGGCGCGUAGGCGGUGCGACACGUCAGGGGUGAAAGGCCCGGGCUCAACCUGGGAACGGCCUUUGAAACUGUCGUGCUAGAGACCGGGAGAGGAUGGCGGAAUUCCCAGUGUAGAGGUGAAAUUCGU